rnacentral:tRNA from 1 species
GGGCCCGUCGCCUAACCUGGAUAUGGCGGCAGAAUAAGUGCCGAGCCCUCUAAGCUGUAAUAAUCUGGGUUCAAAUCCCAGCGGGCCCA